rnacentral:tRNA from 1 species
GCCCGAAUGGUGGAAUUGGUAGACACGCUAGGCUUAGAACCUAGUACCGCAAGGUGUGGGGGUUCAAGUCCCUCUUCGGGCACCA